CCAGGAUUCAUCUUGGGUCUUGAUCCUUUACUGACCAUGGAUCUCUGAUUAGCUUUUGACACCUGGUGCACUGUAUGUGUGAGGCUGGUUCUGCGCUACCACAGAGGAAGGCUGUGUGGUCAGGUAGAAGUUGUCUCCAAACAGCUGUGGCUGCACUCCUGCAGAUGUAGAAGGUGGAGAUUUUCACUCCCCAAAAUGAUCGUCUGCACCCCGUGGUAUCCCCGUGUUUACAGAGAGGGCAGAGGAGAUCUGUCACUUCAGACCCACCUGGUGGCUCACAGCAACCUGGGGAGAGAACAGAAGGCAGAGGUAAGAGCUUCCAGAAUGUAGGAUUGUCACAGGGGCCAGACUACUGCUGGCUGUGGUAUUACCCAGUAGGAAAUGCAGGCAGGCAGUGUGGGAAAAGAAAUGGGUGAGACAAUCUACCAUGGCUGGGGCCGCAUCUGGCUUGUGGACAUCUCAACUGCCAUUUUAAAGGGUUUGUGGUUGUGACUAUUAUUAAAUAUCCAGAGUGUCUGUUGAGUGGACUCUGCAGCUUCUUUUGGACCAUAAUAAGCAUGUCUCCAGGGUCCACAACACCUGUUUGCUGCAUCAGUACUGGUCACUCCUCUUGAAGGCAAUGCCUUGCCACAGUUUCUAUGCCAUUAGCCUGUGCAAAACCUCUGUGGGGAAGUGAGCUGAUGCCAGGAGGGGAUACACUGUUCUACCUGUGGUGGUCUGAAUGAUUUGGCCCUCAUAGGCCAUAUGUGAAUACUUGCUCUUCUGUUGGUAGAACUUUUUGGGAAGGAUUAGGAGGUGUGGCUUUGUUGGAGGGGUUUUGUGGUGGGGGUGUUUAAGGUUUCAACAGUUCACACCAUUACCAGUGUUUCUUUCUGUCUUUCUCUUUGUCUGUCUCAUACUUGUGGAUGAUGAUUUAUUAGC